AAAGGUGAAACGCCACUGUGUCAAAUAAUUCUCACCAGGAUGGGGGCUCUGUUUACCUGCAACCCUCGGCCACAAUGAAUGUUGUUCUACGAGCUACAUUGUGGUACCGCUGCU
rnacentral:ncRNA from 2 species